rnacentral:misc_RNA from 1 species
AAUAUCAGUAAUAUAAGUAGAAGGUAUAUGCAACAAUCGGCAAUGCAACCCUGCGUAAAGGAUUCUCAUAACCUAUAUCUUCUUGUUGUCAUUGAUGCUGCUGUUGCUGCUGCAGACUGAUUAACUNNNNNNNNNNNNCUUUGUUCUCAAGAAGACUUGAAUGAGUCCCUUCCUCUAUUAUCUUCCCACCUUGUAUUACUGAUAUUUGAUCUGCAUUCUUUAUAGUUGAUAGCCUAUGCGCCACCAUGACUGUGGUGCGGUUCCUCAUCAAUCUGUCUAGAGCUUGUUGCACAACACGCUCUGACUCCACAUCUAGAGCACUAGUGGCUUCAUCUAAAAGCAGGAUUUCUGGGUUCGUUAGAACUGCUCGAGCAAUAGCCACCCUUUGUUUCUGGCCACCGGAUAGUUGCACCCCUCGCUCGCCUACUUUGGUUAAGUAGCCAUCAGGAAGGGAACUAAUGAAGUUAUGAGCAUUUGCAAGUUUAGCUGCUUCAACCACUUCUCCUUCAGACGCUCCUUCUUUCCCAUAUAAGAUGUUUUCGUAGAUUGAAGUGGCAAAAAGAGCCGGCUCUUGUUGAACUAAGCCAAUGUGUUUUCUGAGAGAUUUCAGCUUAAGUUUCUUGAUAUCAAUGCCAUCAAUCAUC